UACGAAGGGGGCUAGCGUUGCUCGGAAUCACUGGGCGUAAAGGGUGCGUAGGCGGGUCUUUAAGUCAGGGGUGAAAUCCUGGAGCUCAACUCCAGAACUGCCUUCGAUACUGAAGAUCUUGAGUUCGGGAGAGGUGAGUGGAACUGCGAGUGUAGAGGUGAAAUUCGUAGAUAUUCGCAAGAACACCAGUGGCGAAGGCGGCUCACUGGCCCGAUACUGACGCUGAGGCACGAAGGCGUGGGGAUCAAACAGG
rnacentral:rRNA from 1 species